GGGAUGGCUCCGGAGGAGGGAGCCGCCCAGACCCAGCCCGGGGGGCGAACGAAGAGCGGGCGUGGUGGGCGCCUGCUAGCUCCGGCUUGCGGGGUUGGGCCUUGGGGACAUCGCUCGGGGAGGGGAGAGCCCCGGGCCCCGGCCGCCCCGCGCCGUGGCCGGGAAGGGGGACACAGCCCAGCGUGGGGCGCCCGACGGCUUCUCCCAGCAGCCCGAGCCCCAGCGCAGGCGGCGGCCCGGCCCCUUUGUGCCUGGCGUGUCACGCGCGGGCGCUCCCGCCGCCGCGCCCGGGAGAGGCCCCCGGCACCCCGGGCCCCUUUCCAAGCACAACAGCGGCCCCGCCGCGGCCCCGCGCUGACCCACUUUCCCUCCCGCCUCCUCGACCCGAAGCUGAGAAUCCAGCGGCCGCCGCCAAGCAGAUCUCAUCCCGUCAGUUGAAGACCUUAAGAGAAAAGAGACUGACCUGCUCCGAGCCAGGAGGGAUUCUGCUGGCAGACUGCUCGUGAACUCCAACUUGGAAUAUCAGUCUCCAGCCUACCAGCUUACUCUGCAGAUUUUGGAUUUACCAAGCCUCCACAAUCGCAGAAGCCAAGUCCUCAAAAUAAAUCCCUUAAAACAGUUCCCUAAAAUAAAUUCUUCAAAAUUCCUUAAAAUAAAUAUGUGUGCAUGUGUGUGUCGGUGUAUAUAUAUAUCCUAUGUAAUGUCUAAUAUAGAUCUAUAAUAUAUAUUAGAUAAAUAUACACAUAUUUAUCAUAUAUAUGUGUGUGUGUGUGUAUGUUUCUCCUAUAGGUUCUGUUCUCUGGAGAACCUAAUACUGAAACAGAUCUGUUUUUUCAUCUACCCUCUGUAUCAUCGGGUCUCUGUUAGAACAGAAAUUCACCAAUGUUCUGGUCUGUUGGUGGCAUUUUUCCUGGUUUUCAAGGGCUUGAAAACCCUGGCUCUCAGACGUCUCCAGAGCGCCUGGCCAAGAGUGAGAAGAUGCAAAUGUUUAUUUGGUCUGACUUUGAAAUACCUCGGUGCAGCUGAAAUAAUUGCAGGCAGCCCCGUGAGCAGCAGCACUUCCCGACCUUCUCACAUGCAAACCCUCUGCUGCAGCCGCCAAGCGCCCUCGCGAGACACCUGAGGGGCAGCCCAGCCCCUCCCUCCCUGGGCCGCACGGGCCGUGCCGCAGCUGGUCACCCGCACGAGGACCUCGGGGUUGCCCUGCAGACUGGCACUUCUGCAGGGAAGUGAUGGCAGCUGCCGUGGAGCCAGCAUUUGUCGGGGACCUGGCACCCAGGCCACCGGCUCUGGGAGAGGGCUGCGGGGCUGCGGGGCUCACCUUUCAGGGAUUAGCUUGUGCCACUUGACUUGUUCCCCCAAAUCCUACAAGUACAGAGGAUGUGCAGAAAUCUGAGAGAAACAACCUCCGCAGCUGGUUGUUGUGGGGAUUAAAUUAGUAAGAUGCCUAGAAAAUACGAUUGAGGAGUGUGGGUGCCUGUGACUUGGCGGUGGGUGGGCUCCACUCACCACCCUCCCUCUGCACCUGUCGGAGGCAUUUGAACCAGAGCAACUCCAUUUUGAAUAGGGGCCGGUAAAAUAAGGCUAAGACCUACUGGGCUGCAUUCCCAGACGGUUAAGGCAUUCUAAGUCACAGGAUGAGAUAUGAGGUCGGCACAAGAUACAGGUCAUAAAGACCACGCUGAUAAAACAGGUUGCUGUAGAGAAGCUGGCUAAAACCCAAAAUGGCAACAAGAUGUGUCCUUUGGUCGUCCUCAGGGCUACACUCCCACCACCACCAUGACAGUUUACAAAUGCCAUGGCAACAUCAGGAAGUUACCCUAUAUGGUCUGAAAAGAGGAGGUAUGAAUAAUCCACCUCUUGUUUAGUAUAUAUUCAAGAAAUAACCAUUAAAAUGGGCAAACUGCAGCCCUUGGGGCUGCUCUGUCUAUGGAGUAGCUGGUCUUUUACCCCUUUAAUUUCCUAAUAAACUUACUUUCACUUUA